rnacentral:lncRNA from 1 species
UUCACAGUACUUUAUGCUUAGUAAGGGCUCCAUGGUGUCUGUGAGUUGAAUGUUGUGUUCAUAGUAUCUGUCAAAACAGAGAGAAAAAAACAAAAUCUGAUGAUGGGAAGUUAAAGCUUUGUAUAUAAUAUGCCUUGAAUUGUAAGUGCCUGUUGUUAGUUGUAUUACAUAUAGGUCAUGGUUUUGUACACAUAACUCCAAACCAUUGAUACUGUUAAAAGAAUAUAUGAAUUUAUGAAAGAAUGUAUAAACAUAAGAAUGUAUGGGUAUAUAAUGUCCUUUCCAAAUCAAUUUUUAUUUUUAGCUCUGUUAGAUUUUUCUCAGUGUAGCAAAUGUUUAUUCCUAUGUAAUUAAGGACAUAUUUUAUAUAUGUACAGAAAUAUUCUGUAUUUUCUGUACAGAAUAUUCAUAUUACCUAAUUGAAAAUUAUAUAUUACAAAAAUACAAUACUAUUUUUAGGCCAGGCAUGGUGGCUCAUACCUGUAAUCCC